AGACCAUGAUGAGGACAUCGCCUAAGUAGGUCUUUAUAUCUCUCUCAAGCUUCGUACAACGACUUACCAUCAAACUGUGUAAUCAAAGUGAUAUCAUUCCUCAUCUU
rnacentral:snoRNA from 1 species